CAGCAGACACAUUCCAGCCAAUCAGCAGCAGACCCUCCCUCCCUCCCAGAUCCUCCCACCUCCUGGACAGCAUCCAUUGUGAAGCUGCAUUCUUAGUGAGCUGUCCAGGAGGUGGGAGGGUCUGGGAGGGAGGGUCUGCUGCUGAUUGGCUGGAAUGUGUCUGCUG